rnacentral:rRNA from 1 species
AACUCGCCUGCAUGAAGUCGGAAUUGCUAGUAAUCGCGGAUCAGCAUGCCGCGGUGAAUACGUUCCCGGGCCUUGUACACACCGCCCGUCACACCAUGGGAGUCGGUAACACCCGAAGCCGAUAGUCUAACGAAAGAGGACGUCGUCGAAGGUGGGAUUGAUGACUGGGGGUGAAGUCGUAACAAGGUACC